rnacentral:lncRNA from 1 species
GGCAACAACCGUGGUUGUCUAUUUGCUCUAGUUUUAUUUUGGUUUUGUGGGUUGGAAGAAGGGAAGGCAAAAUUCAAAAGACGAGAGUUGCUGAGACUGGUGCACAGUUGCUUCUUUUGUUUUGCUCCCCAAGUCAUGUGGGGAUCCUUAGCAAACCUACUGGAUGGCAUCGAGAAACGUGGAGCAUAGGAGUGAAGGGGUUCAGGAGGCGGAC